rnacentral:rRNA from 1 species
UACGUAGGGCGCAAGCGUUGUCCGGAAUUAUUGGGCGUAAAGAGCUCGUAGGCGGCUUGUCACGUCGGGUGUGAAAGCCCGGGGCUUAACCCCGGGUCUGCAUUCGAUACGGGCUGGCUAGAGUGUGGUAGGGGAGAUCGGAAUUCCUGGUGUAGCGGUGAAAUGCGCAGAUAUCAGGAGGAACACCGGUGGCGAAGGCGGAUCUCUGGGCCAUUACUGACGCUGAGGAGCGAAAGCGUGGGGAGCGAAUGGG